CGGUGUUUAACUGGCGUGAUGUGGGACGUCCUACCGGUGGGCUUAGCCUCGCGAGGGGCGGCCCAACUAAUAUCCCGUCGCGGUGCUCUUUACUGAGUGUCGAGUCGGGCCGGUACGUUUACUUUGAACAAAUUAGAGUGCUUAAAGCAGGCUAUCCUCGCCUGAAUACUGCGUGCAUGGAAUAAUGGAAUAGGACCUCGGUUCUAUUUUGUUGGUUUUCGGAACCCCGAGGUAAUGAUUAAUAGGGACAGAUGGGGGCAUUCGUAUUGCGACGUUAGAGGUGAAAUUCUUGGAUCGUCGCAAGACGGGCAGAAGCGAAAGCAUUUGCCAAAAAUGUUUUCAUUAAUCAAGAACGAAAGUUAGAGGUUCGAAGGCGAUCAGAUACCGCCCUAGUUCUAACCAUAAACGAUGCCAGCUAGCGAUCCGCCGAAGUUCCUCCGAUGACUCGGCGGGCAGCUUCCGGGAAACCAAAGCUUUUGGGUUCCGGGGGAAGUAUGGUUGCAAAGCUGAAACUUAAAGGAAUUGACGGAAGGGCACCACCAGGAGUGGAGCCUGCGGCUUAAUUUGACUCAACACGGGAAACCUCACCAGGCCCAGACACCGGAAGGAUUGACAGAUUGAUAGCUCUUUCUUGAUUCGGUGGGUGGUGGUGCAUGGCCGUUCUUAGUUGGUGGAGCGAUUUGUCUGGUUAAUUCCGAUAACGAACGAGACUCUAGCCUGCUAAAUAGGCGUACCUUAUGGUAUCGCGAAGGCCCCCGGCUUCGGCCGGUGGGUUUUUACUACCAACGUACAAACAAAUCUUUUUAGAGGGACAGGCGG
rnacentral:rRNA from 1 species